UCAUCUGUGUGUAAUGGAGUCAUCCGCUCCUC
rnacentral:piRNA from 1 species